UACGGAGGGGGCUAGCGUUGUUCGGAAUUACUGGGCGUAAAGCGCGCGUAGGCGGACCUGCAAGUCGGGGGUGAAAGCCCGAGGCUCAACCUCGGAACUGCCUUCGAUACUGCGGGUCUCGAGUCCGGGAGAGGUGAGUGGAAUUCCUAGUGUAGAGGUGAAAUUCGUAGAUAUUAGGAAGAACACCAGUGGCGAAGGCGGCAUCCUGGACCAACACUGACACUGAUGAGCGAAAGCCAGGGGAGCAAACGGG
rnacentral:rRNA from 1 species